rnacentral:rRNA from 1 species
AGAAAUUAGGCAGUGCCCUUCGGGGAAUGCAGUGACAGGUGCUGCAUGGCUGUCGUCAGCUCGUGCCGUGAGGUGUUGGGUUAAGUCCCGCAACGAGCGCANCCCCUAUCCUUAGUUGCCAUCAGGUAAUGCUGAGCACUCUAGGGAGACUGCCCGGGUUAACCGGGAGGAAGGUGGGGACGACGUCAAGUCAUCAUGGCCCUUACGCCUGGGGCUACACACGUACUACAAUGGUGCAUACAAAGGGUUGCGAUACCGUGAGGUGGAGCUAAUCCCAUAAAGUGCAUCCCAGUCCGGAUAGGAGUCUGCAACUCGACUCCUUGAAGUCGGAAUCGCUAGUAAUCCCGGAUCAGCAUGCCGGGGUGAAUGCGUUCCCGGCCCUUGUACACACCGCCCGUCACACCACG